rnacentral:lncRNA from 1 species
GGAUAAUCGAUUACCCUGUAUGUUUUUGCCUGAAUCACAAAUUUUCAUUCUGUGUAACCGAUUACUCCAUUUUGGAUAAUCGAUUACCCUGCACUUUUUUAUUUUCCUCACGUAUUUUUAAUCUGUGUAACCGAUUACCCUAUUUAGAGUAAUCUACUACCACUGUUCUGUCCAGAUUUUUUUUUAUUUUUAAAUACACGUGAGUUGUUGCAUUGUUUGUGUUAAGUGCUUAUUUCUUGUCCUUUUACUU